UACGUAGGGGGGCGAGCGUUGUCCGGAUUCAUUGGGCGUAAAGCGCGCGUAGGCGGCCCCGCAAGUCGGCCGUGAAAUCUCCCAGCUCAACUGGGAGGGGUCGGGCGAGACUGCGGGGCUCGAGGUGGGUAGAGGGCAGUGGAAUUCCGGGUGUAGUGGUGGAAUGCGUAGAGAUCCGGAGGAACACCAGUGGCGAAGGCGGCUGCCUGGGCCUGGCCUGACGCUGAGGCGCGAAAAGCGUGGGGAGCGAGUCCGG
rnacentral:rRNA from 1 species